rnacentral:rRNA from 1 species
UACGUAGGGUGCGAACGUUGUUCGGAAUCACUGGGCAUAAAGAGCGCGUAGGCGGUCUAAUAAGUCCUUUGUGAAAGCCCCCGGCUUAACCGGGGAAUUGCAUUGGAUACUGUUGGACUAGAGUACAGGAGGGGAGAGCGGAAUUCCUGGUGGAGCGGUGAAAUGCGUAGAUAUCAGGAGGAACGCCGGCGGCGAAAGCGGCUCUCUGGUCUGUCACUGACGCUGAGGCGCGAAAGCUAGGGGAGCAAACGGG